CGUAUAUUAAAGUUGUUGCAGUUAAAAAGCUCGUAGUUAGAUUUGUGGCGUACGGUGUGUUCCGGGCACUUGUUGUCUGAGUAACCUGCUGUUGCCAUCCUUGGGUGGAACCUGUGUGGCAUUAGGUUGUCGUGCAGGGGAUGCCCAUCUUUUACUGUGAAAAAAUUAGAGUGUUCAAAGCAGGCUUAUGCCGUUGAAUAUAUUAGCAUGGAAUAAUGAGAUAGGACUUUUUUACUAUUUUGUUGGUUUGCGUAAAGAGGUAAUGAUUAAUAGGGACAGUUGGGGG
rnacentral:rRNA from 1 species